GAGUAGAUCAUACUGGUAUAAGCAAUUCCUGACCUAACUGUAUCUGCCCCAGCAGUGCAACACUUCCAGAUGGUAACUACUGAAGUGAUGAUGAUCUGGCCAUAAAUGUAAAGGAAAACCACACUAAAUACAAAAUGGAAAGUUAAGCAGUUUGAACCACAGUGGAGGAAGACAGUUAAAAGUCUAACAAGAAAAGGAGGUUAGCUGUUAAUUUACAUCAACCAAAGGAGCCUGGACACGUCUGGGAUCUGACAUUUGGAUGGAAUAAGUAUCCAGAACUCAUGUUUUAGUUUGCAGCACGUAUGAGAAAUGCCAGCUUCUGAACAGGAUGUACUUAAAUUCAAGAGCUGCUUUGGAAACCCGUUGUCCUAGCAGUGAUGGAAUUAGGAGAAAUUCUAGGGACAGCUUCAAUGAAAAUGCUAUUUGCUUCUUAAAUGCCAAAAGAUACAAAUAGUCAUUUAGAACUAUAAGAACACAUAGAAGAACUAUAGUAACUGUGGAAAGGGGAAAAAAAAAAAAAAAAGAAAAAGGAUGAAACAGCUAUGUGUGUUGCCCUUCAGCAUCUAAUUUAUUAAUAAAACUGCUGUUAGUAUUGCUGCCAUUCUACUGAUUUAAGGGUGGGCAACCACCAUGCAGUGGUCUUACAUUUUGUUAUUCAGGUUCUGCAGACUAGUAUGUACACUGGGCAAUACUUGUGUAGCUAGUAACCUUCCUAUUAUCCUCUCUUGACCACCUAUCCACCUCAUUGUUGCUUUAAACCAUUCCCUGAGCAACAGCCUGACCACCUUUGCCUACAGUGGGUUUUCCUAGACUUCUAGCAACUCAAUUCCAUGUUGGAUCAAUGGCAGUUCUCUCUGUCACCAAUCAGGCAGAAUUGAGCUUUCAAUAUAUCAGAAGCAGCAACUUAGUUGUACUGACAGUUCAGAGAUUUUUGGAAGGAUUACCUGUAGAAGGCAUGGGCGCUCUGAAUGUAGAUGACAGAUACUUUACUUAAAAGGAUUCUCUCUCUUUUUUUUUUCUUCCCAUUUACUUUGUUGAGGAGAACAUCCCUUCAAACAUUUCAUGAUGAGAAAUAACGUGUUUAACAAUGGUAGAAAUAUGGCCAAAGCUUUCGUAUCUGCUGAGGUUUAAGGUGAUUAACAAUCAGCCUAUGCCUCUACUGAUGUUUUUUUUUUGUGUGUGUG